CCCGCAAAAACCGACGAGUCGGAACCGAAAAAAAGUUCAGAGCCGUGAACUUUUUUUCGAUUUCUGCGGGAUAUCGUUCCACGCGACAUUUUAUGGCGCACAGCGGCAUUCUUUUGUUUUGUUUACUUCUGCCUUUUUUGAAGUGACAGAAGGUUGAGUAGGUGUCAGUUUUCAUCCGAUUUGUGUAGAUUAUAGUCGUAUUUUCUGUGUUAAGUUGUUCUGGAUAUUCACCUACCUACGCAUCAGUAUGGAACGUGCAAUGAGAGAUGAAGAUGGAGAAAUGAGUGGAGAAAUGGACUUCAACGAAUCAAUAAUUGAAGCAGUCAGGAAGUACCCAGGUUUGUGGGACAAAAAGUCGAAGGACUAUGCAAAGAAAAAGACUGUAAAAGAUCUUGAUUGGCAAAGAGUGGCAGCUGAGUGCAGAUGUGAUGUGCAAGCUGCCAAAGAGAGGUGGAAGUCUUUGCGGGACUACUAUCUGGCCAGAAAAAGGAAGACUCUGCCCAGUGGAUCAGCAGCACCUGCAGGUGGCCAUCAGCACCUAGGACCCUAUGGGAAUAUGCUCAGAUUUCUGGACCCCAGCACCCAGCGUGGGCCAUCCUUGAUGAAUACGAGGACUGAAGGACACCCAUAAGUCACUGAGACUGCGACGUGUUUGUAUGUGUGGCUGUGGUUGAUUUUUUUUUUUGUUUAACUAACUGG
rnacentral:misc_RNA from 1 species